rnacentral:rRNA from 1 species
GUGGGGAAUAUUGGACAAUGGGCGAAAGCCUGAUCCAGCCAUGCCGCGUGUGUGAAGAAGGUCUUCGGAUUGUAAAGCACUUUAAGUUGGGAGGAAGGGCAGUAAGUUAAUACCUUGCUGUUUUGACGUUACCGACAGAAUAAGCACCGGCUAACUUCGUGCCAGCAGCCGCGGUAAUACGAAGGGUGCAAGCGUUAAUCGGAAUUACUGGGCGUAAAGCGCGCGUAGGUGGUUUUGUAAGUUGGAGGUGAAAUCCCCGGGCUCAAACUGGGAACUGCCUCGAAAACUGCAUGACUAGAGUACGGUAGAGGGUAGUGGAAUUUCCUGUGUAGCGGUGAAAUGCGUAGAUAUAGGAAGGAACACCAGUGGCGAAGGCGACUACCUGGACUGAUACUGACACUGAGGUGCGAAAGCGUGGGGAGCAAACAGGAUUAGAUACCCUAGUAGUCC